AUGGACGAAAGUCUGACGGAGCAACGCCGCGUGAGCGAUGAAGGCCUUCGGGUCGUAAAGCUCUGUUGUCAGGGAAGAACAAGUAUCGGAGUAACUGCCGGUACCUUGACGGUACCUGACCAGAAAGCCACGGCUAACUACGUGCCAGCAGCCGCGGUAAUACGUAGGUGGCAAGCGUUGUCCGGAAUUAUUGGGCGUAAAGCGCGCGCAGGCGGUUCCUUAAGUCUGAUGUGAAAGCCCCCGGCUCAACCGGGGAGGGUCAUUGGAAACUGGGGAACUUGAGUGCAGAAGAGGAGAGCGGAAUUCCACGUGUAGCGGUGAAAUGCGUAGAGAUGUGGAGGAACACCAGUGGCGAAGGCGGCUCUCUGGUCUGUAACUGACGCUGAGGCGCGAAAGCGUGGGGAGCGAACAGGAUUAGAUACCCUGGUAGUCCACGCCGUAAACGAUGAGUGCUAAGUGUUAGAGGGUUUCCGCCCUUUAGUGCUGCAGCAAACGCAUUAAGCACUCCGCCUGGGGAGUACGGCCGCAAGGCUGAAACUCAAAGGAAUUGACGGGGGCCCGCACAAGCGGUGGAGCAUGUGGUUUAAUUCGAAGCAACGCGAAGAACCUUACCAGGUCUUGACAUCCUCUGACAACCCUAGAGAUAGGGCGUUCCCCUUCGGGGGACAGAGUGACAGGUGGUGCAUGGUUGUCGUCAGCUCGUGUCGUGAGAUGUUGGGUUAAGUCCCGCAACGAGCGCAACCCUUGAUCUUAGUUGCCAGCAUUCAGUUGGGCACUCUAAGGUGACUGCCGGUGACAAACCGGAGGAAGGUGGGGAUGACGUCAAAUCAUCAUGCCCCUUAUGACCUGGGCUACACACGUGCUACAAUGGAUGGAACAAAGGGCAGCGAAGCCGCGAGGUGAAGCCAAUCCCAUAAAACCAUUCUCAGUUCGGAUUGCAGGCUGCAACUCGCCUGCAUGAAGCCGGAAUCGCUAGUAAUCGCGGAUCAGCAUGCCGCGGUGAAUACGUUCCCGGGCCUUGUACACACCGCCCGUCACACCACGAGAGUUUGUAACACCCGAA
rnacentral:rRNA from 1 species